rnacentral:ncRNA from 1 species
GCAAAGGCUGUGAGGAAGAGGAGUACGCAGGUAUGGCCGUCAGAGAGGACCGUCCAUUGGCUGAAAGGCGGUUUCGGUACAGACAGGCGGAAGGUGGCUUCGGAGCUGAAGCGCAGAAAGAAGAGUAAGCGCUUUCGUCGGAUCCGCGUUAAGGAGAAUGAGGCAUGGGACUUCCCAUGUGAACAAAGGUGGUACCGCGAGAUAUUCGCCCUUUGC